UUUUGAAAACGGAACUUGGUGUUCAACCAAGUGUUUUUAUUUUUGAAAUAUUGAUCUUAUCAAGCCAUAUUGUCUUGUUUAAUCAAAUGUCUACAUGAAAAAUCAUACAAUCAAGUGUGACAUAUAAUCAACAUAAUUAACAACUAGUACACAAAGACAUGCAAACAAUUACACGUUCAAGCAAAGAUCAAACAAUUCAAACCGAACAUGAGUCAUAAAUACUGCCAAAUGCUAAGUCUUAAGGGGAACUCAAUGGUCUUUCAAAAAAUCUAAUUGGAUGAGACAAAACCCUAAUGCAUAUCUCUAAAUUAUUAAACUAUAUUUAUUUUAUUUGGCUUUAAUAAAAUAAAAUAAAAGGUUAUUGCAAAAAAAACUCAAUUUUUUCUAUUUUUAUUAUAAAAAUUUGAUCCCUUUUUUCUAUUUGUUAUUCUCUUUAUUUUUUUAAAACUAAACAAAAAAACCAAAACAAAGUAAAAUAAAAAAGGGGAUAGGUCUGGGGGUGUCUUAAAUGAAAAGGGGAGGUGAAGGCCCAAAGAAAUAUCAACCCAGACUUUAAGUAAGUGGGCACGGAUCAGGAGAUCUAUUUGGACCUCAACUGACCCGUCCCCAACUCCACAAGGCAAUGGUUCAAGCGAACUCUAGUACUGAAAGUGCAAAAAAAAAACAAUCCGCUUAUCCCUCCUCUUCUUGCUUUUAACAUCAUUUUCUCCGCUUUCUCAAAACAAACAUCAGUGUCCAAAACAACAAAACGUUUGAUCAUCAUUCAAAAUAAAACCAAUUAAAUCAAAAACAAACAAUCUCUCCUCUUUCUAUAUCGUGAAUCAAAGACCCCCCCCCACACACACACACACGCACACGAAAAGAGAAACGAGCAACCUACUUCAUAACCCAAAAGAAAAUCCGAACCAAAAGCCUCAAACCCUUUUCUAUAUUGUGGCCUAAAUCUCAAUCGAUAGAAACAAGCAAAAUAUAACAACAUUCAAAUCAGUCAUAGAAAAGAUUCAUCUUUAUCAAAUCAAACAAGUUCAAGAAAGUAGACAAAUACAUAUAAUGAAGAUGAUGAGGAAAAAUGAUCUGACAGAAAAAUACCUCUCCAAAAGUUCUUGGAGGGACGAAAAUGUUCGGGUUCAUGGUAAUGGUCAAGGAUGCUUGGAGAUUGACUUGGCAAAGGAAUACAAGGAUGGAUCAAAUAGGAUGGCAUGAAACUUGGAGUUGAAGAAAAGAUGGUCAUGGAGCCAAAGUUAAUUGAAGUGAAAUUGCACUAUUUUUUAGGAGCUAGGUCUUAGAUUCACCUUUUUUUCCUUGUUGGAACCUUGUGAUAUGCUUGAAUCAAAAUUCAAAGUGUUGUAAUAAAUCUUGCAUUCCCAUUGAUUUUCCUUGUAUUUUGGCACUUGCUUGACUUGUAAUGAAAGUGUCUUCUUUGUAUGGAAAUGUUCACAAAAACUUGGCUUGAUUAUGGAUGGAUAAAAGUUAAUGAAUACGUUGAAAGUUAUGCAAAAUCAAUGAAUAUGACUUAGAAUAUGAAUGAAAGAUAUGUAAUAUGAAUGAAUAUGGUUUAGAAUAUGAAUGAAAGUUAUGUAAUGUUAAUGUGAA